rnacentral:rRNA from 1 species
GCUCCAAUAGCGUAUAUUAAAGUUGUUGCGGUUAAAAAGCUCGUAGUUGGAUUUCUGCCGAGGACGACCGGUCCGCCACUGGGUGUGCAUCUGGCUCGGCCUGGGCAUCUUCUUGGAGAACGUAUCUGCACUUCAUUGUGUGGUGCGGUAACCAGGACUUACUUUGAGGAAAUUAGAGUGUUUCAAGCAGGCGUGCGCCU